rnacentral:rRNA from 1 species
UACGUAGGUGGCAAGCGUUGUCCGGAUUUACUGGGCGUAAAGGGCGCGUAGGCGGCGCAACAAGUCACUUGUGAAAUCUCCGGGCUUAACCCGGAGCGGUCAAGUGAUACUGUCGUGCUAGAGUGCGGAAGGGGCUACUGGAAUUCUCGGUGUAGCGGUGAAAUGCGUAGAUAUCGAGAGGAACACCUGCGGCGAAGGCGGGUAGCUGGGCCGACACUGACGCUGAUGCGCGAAAGCCAGGGGAGCGAACGGG